rnacentral:rRNA from 1 species
GCCAGCCCGCUCAGAAACUACAAAGGAAGUUGACGGGGCCCGCACAAGCGGUGGAGUAUGUGGUUAAUUCGAUGCAACGCGAAGAACCGUACCUGGUCUUGACAUCCCGGAGACCCUUAGGAAACUAGGGGUGCUUCCAUCUGGAAGAACCUGGAGACAGGUGCUGCAUGGCUGUCGUCAGCUCGUGUCGUGAGAUGUUGGGUUAAGUCCCGCAACGAGCGCAACCCUUGCCUUUAGUUGCCAGCAGUUCGGCUGGGCACUCUAAAGGGACUGCCGGUGUUAAACCGGAGGAAGGUGGGGAUGACGUCAAGUCCUCAUGGCCUUUAUGACCAGGGCUACACACGUACUACAAUGGCCGAUACAAAGGGCAGCGACACUGCGAGGUGAAGCCAAUCCCGUAAAAUCGGUCUCAGUCCGGAUUGGAGUCUGCAACUCGACUCCAUGAAGUUGGAAUCGCUAGUAAUCGUGGAUCAGCAUGCCACGGUGAAUACGUUCCCGGGCCUU